GCUGCAGUAGCUCCAGCGGUAGAGCGCGCCCUUGGUAAGGGCGAGGUCGGCGGUUCGAAUCCGCCCUGCAGCACCA
rnacentral:tRNA from 1 species